UAAUACGUAGGGGGCAAGCGUUGUCCGGAUUUAUUGGGCGUAAAGCGCUCGCAGGCGGCUCGAUGCGUCGUGCGUGAAACACCCCGGCUCAACUGGGGAGGGUCGUGCGAUACGGUCGGGCUUGAGGCCAGUAGGGGGAUGCGGAAUUCCGGGUGUAGUGGUGGAAUGCGUAGAGAUCCGGAGGAACACCAGCGGCGAAGGCGGCAUCCUGGACUGGUACUGACGCUCAGGAGCGAAAGCGUGGGGAGCGAUCCGGAUUAGAUACCCGGGUAGUCCACGCUGUAAACGAUGAGAACUAGGUGUCGGGGGUAUCGACCCCCUCGGUGCCGAAGCUAACGCGAUAAGUUCUCCGCCUGGGGACUACGGCCGCAAGGCUA
rnacentral:rRNA from 1 species